GUGGCUGUAGCCAAGGAUUUUCAGUCCAUUUAUAUUGUGUUUAGUUUGUUUUAGUGAUAUUUUAAGUUGGAUUACUCUAUAAAAAUGGCCGCAAGAGUAUUGUGUAUGUUGUACCUUCUAGAAGAAGCUAAAAGGCUAGACGAUUUACACAAAAGACGUCAAAGUCGCAGUAUA